AGUGAACGCUGGCGGUAUGCCUAACACAUGCAAGUCGAACGGCAGCACAGUAAGGGCUUGCUCUUACGGGUGGCGAGUGGCGGACGGGUGAGGAAUACAUCGGAAUCUACUUUUUCGUGGGGGAUAACGUAGGGAAACUUACGCUAAUACCGCAUACGACCUACGGGUGAAAGCAGGGGAUCUUCGGACCUUGCGCGGUUGAAUGAGCCGAUGUCGGAUUAGCUAGUUGGCGGGGUAAAGGCCCACCAAGGCGACGAUCCGUAGCUGGUCUGAGAGGAUGAUCAGCCACACUGGAACUGAGACACGGUCCAGACUCCUACGGGAGGCAGCAGUGGGGAAUAUUGGACAAUGGGCGCAAGCCUGAUCCAGCAAUACCGCGUGGGUGAAGAAGGCCUUCGGGUUGUAAAGCCCUUUUGUUGGGAAAGAAAAGCAGCAGGUUAAUACCCCGCUGUUCUGACGGUACCCAAAGAAUAAGCACCGGCUAACUUCGUG
rnacentral:rRNA from 1 species